UGGCGGCGUGCCUAAUACAUGCAAGUCGAGCGGAGUUUUUAAAAGCUUGCUUUUAAAAACUCAGCGGCGGACGGGUGAGUAACACGUGGGCAACCUGCCCUGUAGACUGGGAUAACUUCGGGAAACCGAAGCUAAUACCGGAUAAUCAUAGAAGUUGCAUAGCUUCUAUGUAAAAGUUGGGUUUACCUAACACUACAGGAUGGGCCCGCGUCGCAUUAGCUAGUUGGUAAGGUAACGGCUUACCAAGGCGACGAUGCGUAGCCGACCUGAGAGGGUGAUCGGCCACACUGGGACUGAGACACGGCCCAGACUCCUACGGGAGGCAGCAGUAGGGAAUCUUCCGCAAUGGACGAAAGUCUGACGGAGCAACGCCGCGUGAGCGAUGAAGGCCUUCGGGUCGUAAAGCUCUGUUGUUAGGGAAGAACAAGUGCUAUUCGAAUAGGGUGGCACCUUGACGGUACCUAACGAGAAAGCCACGGCUAACUACGUGCCAGCAGCCGCGGUAAUACGUAGGUGGCGAGCGUUGUCCGGAAUUACUGGGCGUAAAGGAUGCGUAGGUGGAUACUUAAGUGGGAUGUGAAAUCCCCGGGCUCAACCCGGGAACUGCAUUCCAAACUGGGUAUCUAGAGUGCAGGAGAGGAAAGCGGAAUUCCUAGUGUAGCGGUGAAAUGCGUAGAUAUUAGGAGGAACACCAGUGGCGAAGGCGGCUUUCUGGACUGUAACUGACACUGAGGCAUGAAAGCGUGGGUAGCAAACAGGAUUAGAUACCCUGGUAGUCCACGCCGUAAACAGAUGGGUAGUAGGUGUAGGAGGUAUCGACCCCUUCUGUGCCGUCGUUAACACAAUAAGUACCCCGCCUGGGGAGUACGGUCGCAAGACUAAAACUCAAAGGAAUUGACGGGGGCCCGCACAAGCAGCGGAGCAUGUGGUUUAAUUCGAAGCAACGCGAAGAACCUUACCUAGACUUGACAUCUCCUGAAUUACCCUUAAUCGGGGAAGCCCUUCGGGGCAGGAAGACAGGUGGUGCAUGGUUGUCGUCAGCUCGUGUCGUGAGAUGUUGGGUUAAGUCCCGCAACGAGUGCAACCCUUAUUUUUAGUUGCUACCAUUUAGUUGAGCACUCUAAAGAGACUGCCCGGGUUAACCGGGAGGAAGGUGGGGAUGACGUCAAAUCAUCAUGCCCCUUAUGUCUAGGGCUACACACGUGCUACAAUGGUGAGAACAAAGAGACGCGAGACCGCGAGGUGGAGCAAAUCUCAUAAAACUCAUCCCAGUUCGGAUUGCAGGCUGAAACUCGCCUGCAUGAAGCCGGAGUUGCUAGUAAUCGCGAAUCAGCAUGUCGCGGUGAAUACGUUCCCGGGCCUUGUACACACCGCCCGUCACACCAUGAGAGUUGGCAAUACCCGAAGUGCCGUGGGGCAACCAGCAAUGGAGCCAGCGGCCGAAGGUAGGGUCAAAGAUG
rnacentral:rRNA from 1 species